rnacentral:misc_RNA from 1 species
GAAAUGCGAUAAGUAGUGUGAAUUGCAGAAUUCAGUGAAUCAUCGAAUCUUUGAACGCACAUUGCGCCCCUUGGUAUUCCAUGGGGCAUGCCUGUUCGAGCGUCAUUUGUACCCUCAAGCUCUGCUUGGUGUUGGGUGUUUGUCCCGUCUCCGCGCGUGGACUCGCCCCAAAGUGAUCGGCAGCCGGCGUACUGGUCCCGGAGCGCAGCACAUGUCGCGCAAACGAGUGCCUUGGUACGGCGGCGUCCAUAAGCCCCUCUCUCACGCUCUUGACCUCGGAUCAGGUAGGGAUACCCGCUGAACUUAAGC